GAUGAAGAACGUAGCGAAAUGCGAUAAGUAAUGUGAAUUGCAGAAUUCUGUGAAUCAUCGAAUCUUUGAACGCACAUUGCGCCCUCUGGUAUUCCGGGGGGCAUGCCUGUUCGAGCGUCAUUAUAACCACUCAAGCUCUCGCUUGGUAUUGGAGUUCGCGAUCUCGCGGCUCCUAAAAUCAGUGGCGGUGCCUGUCGGCUCUACGCGUAGUAAUACUCCUCGCGAUUGAGUCCGGUAGGUUUACUUGCCAGCAACCCCCAAUUUUUACAGGUUGACCUCGGAUCAGGUAGGGAUACCCGCUGAACUUAAGCAUAUCAAUAAGCGGAGGA
rnacentral:misc_RNA from 1 species